rfam:Gossypium hirsutum cultivar TM-1 unplaced genomic scaffold scaffold769.1, whole genome shotgun sequence
AGUUAAAAUUUUCAUCUAUUUCUAUUAUUGAAAACUAGCAUGGGUGACAGAAUAAGUAGAUAAUUAAACCUUGGUAUUGCGUGUAUCUUAUGUCGACAUAUAUGGACCAAUUUUUAAUAGUAGAAACAGAUAAAAUUUUUAACA